UUGUGGAGGAGGACGCCGAAGGUGGGGCUAAUGACUGGGGUGAAGUCGUAACAAGGUAGCCGUACCGGAAGGUGCGGCUGGAUCACCUCCUAACAGGGAGACAAAAUCAGAUUGUGAUGUCUAAAUGAUUUAUUUUUAGGCCAUAAUCCUGUCACCUUAGGUCGAUCGGUACCUCAGUUUAAUAACAAAAGCUAAUUAAUUUAGUUAUAUCAAGUUAUUAAAUUCAGUUCCUAAACUUUGUCUAGGUCACACCCAACAAGGGUUCUCCUGGGCCAUUAGCUCAGGUGGUUAGAGCGCACCCCUGAUAUGGGUGAGGUCCCUGGUUCAAGUCCAGGAUGGCCCAUUCGAAGUUUGGGGGUAUAGCUCAGUUGGUAGAGCGCCUGCUUUGCAAGCAGGAUGUCAGCGGUUCGAGUCCGCUUACCUCCACUGAUCAACCUCCUAAUAGAGAAUCUAAGGAGAUUGACUUUUGUAAGUUAAGUGACCUGGAGCUGUUCAGCUGAACGUAUUAGUGAACCUAGCUUCCUAUCAUCAUUAAUUUCGACUCAAAUUUCGGAAUUGUGUUUGAUAAGAUGCUGGGCUCUUUGAAAUUUUAAGUAAUCUCGAAGUGUUCAGUAGAACCUUGACAACUGCAUAGGAUAAGUCUGGAAAAGAAUAAAGCAUCUCAUGGAUGAAUUGUUCUUAUAUUUCAGUUAUAGACUGAUUUAUUUGGAUAAUUUGAGAUUCUUGAGCAAGAGCAAAAGUCUAUUUAGUUUUUAAUAGCUAAAUAGAAGUUGAUUGGUCAAGCUACAA
rnacentral:misc_RNA from 1 species